rnacentral:rRNA from 1 species
GAUGAACGCUGACAGAAUGCUUAACACAUGCAAGUCGAUGGGGAAGUGGUGCUUGCACCAUGGUAACCAAGGCGGACGGGUGAGUAACGCGUAAGGAACUUACCUGCGGGACCGGGAUAACAGCAGGAAACUGCUGACAAGACCGGAUAAGGUCAUUAAGCUGCAUAGCUUAGUGAUGAAAGGAGACGCCUGCGGAGAGCCUUGCGUCCUAUUAGCUAGUUGGAGGGGUAACGGCCCACCAAGGCGAAGAUAGGUAGCCGGCCUGAGAGGGUGGACGGCCACAAGGGGACUGAGAUACGGCCCUUACUCCUACGGGAGGCAGCAGUGGGGAAUAUUGGACAAUGGGGGCAACCCUGAUCCAGCAAUUCUGUGUGCACGAAGACGGUUUUCGGAUUGUAAAGUGCUUUCAGCAGGGAAGAAGGAAGUGACGGUACCUGCAGAAGAAGCGACGGCUAAAUACGUG